GACGAACGCUGGCGGCGUGCCUAAUACAUGCAAGUCGAACGCAUUUUCUUUCACCGUAGCUUGCUACACCGAAAGAAAAUGAGUGGCGAACGGGUGAGUAACACGUGGGUAACCUGCCCAUCAGCGGGGGGUAACACUUGGAAACAGGUGCUAAUACCGCAUAAUUCCAUUUACUGCAUGGUAGAUGGAUGAAAGGCGCUUUUGCGUCACUGAUGGAUGGACCCGCGGUGCAUUAGCUAGUUGGUGGGGUAACGGCCUACCAAGGCUGCGAUGCAUAGCCGACCUGAGAGGGUGAUCGGCCACCCUGGGACUGAGACACGGCCCAGACUCCUACGGGAGGCAGCAGUAGGGAAUCUUCGGCAAUGGACGCAAGUCUGACCGAGCAACGCCGCGUGAGUGAAGAAGGUUUUCGGAUCGUAAAACUCUGUUGUUAGAAAAGAACAAGGAUGAGAGUGGAAAGUUCAUCCCUUGACGGUAUCUAACCAGAAAGCCACGGCUAACUACGUG
rnacentral:rRNA from 1 species